CUGGCUUUCCUCUGCUUUCCUCUGUCUCAUUUUUCUGUGAGACAGUGCUUAAUUUAACUAUUUUAAUUAGUUUCUAGGACUGCAUUCAUCUCUGAGAACAUGCUGCCCCAAUGCUUCCAGCACAGGCCACUGAAGGUGGUUUCGAAGUGGCACUGCUGCAGCUGUCUCCUACCUUUGCAGUGGCUCAUUUUCCUGCUCAGCUGUGCUCUCUAGAGAAAAGACUGGAUGCCAUAUGGGUUCCCAUCAGCCAUGGGCACACUUCUGGACAGCCACUUCUCCCCUGUCUGUACUCACCAGGCCUACUCGGAAGCAAAGAUCAUUCUUCUUGUGCAAACAAACCUACUGGAGUAAACACCAUCUCCUUGGCUCAAUGUGCUUAUAUUGGCUUGCUGACCGUAGAGCUGUGUGCCUGGCCUUUGAGCUCUGUGCUUGGAAGACACCUCUGUGCCACAUUCUGGCUCUUCCUGUAUCUGUUCUGUCUAUGCUGUAUCUUUCUGUCCCUUUGAGCAGGCAAGUGUGAAGUAGAAAUGGCAAAUUAUGCUUCAGGAAAAACUCGGGUGCCUGAUUGUGUGUGCUCAGUCUGGACUUAAUUCUUCAGUUAUUCUUGC